rnacentral:ncRNA from 17 species
GACUGUUGAGGUAGAACAGGUAGCUACACGCUUGAAUAUGUAUUGAACAGUUCGAGUCUUAAAAAAAGCUUAAUUGCUAAGAGAUGCGGGAUUACCACCCCACCAACAGUC